UACGGGGGGGGCAAGCGUUGUUCGGAAUUACUGGGCGUAAAGGGCUCGUAGGCGGCCAACUAAGUCGGAUGUGAAAUCCCCAAGCUUAACCUGGGAACUGCAUCCGAUACUGGAUGGCUUGAAUCCGGGAGAGGGAUGCAGAAUUCCAGGUGUAGCGGUGAAAUGCGUAGAUAUCUGGAGGAAUACCGGUGGCGAAGGCGGCAUCCUGGACCGGCAUUGACGCUGAGGAGCGAAAGCUAGGGGAGCAAACGGG
rnacentral:rRNA from 1 species